rnacentral:rRNA from 1 species
GCAAGGCCUUGCGCUCUUUGAGCGGCCGAUGUCAGAUUAGCUAGUUGGUGAGGUAAAGGCUUACCAAGGCGACGAUCUGUAGCGGGUCUGAGAGGAUGAUCCGCCACACUGGAACUGAGACACGGUCCAGACUCCUACGGGAGGCAGCAGUGGGGAAUUUUGGACAAUGGGGGCAACCCUGAUCCAGCCAUGCCGCGUGAGUGAAGAAGGCCUUCGGGUUGUAAAGCUCUUUCGGCCGGGAAGAAAUCGCAUGGGCCAAUACCCUGUGUGGAUGACGGUACCGGAAUAAGAAGCACCGGCUAACUACGUGCCAGCAGCCGCGGUAAUACGUAGGGUGCGAGCGUUAAUCGGAAUUACUGGGCGUAAAGCGUGCGCAGGCGGUUUUGUAAGACAGGCGUGAAAUCCCCGGGCUUAACCUGGGAACUGCGUUUGUGACUGCAAGGCUAGAGUACGGCAGAGGGGGGUGGAAUUCCACGUGUAGCAGUGAAAUGCGUAGAGAUGUGGAGGAACACCAAUGGCGAAGGCAGCCCCCUGGGUCGAUACUGACGCUCAUGCACGAAAGCGUGGGUAGCAAACAGGAUUAGAUACCCUGGUAGUCCACGCCCUAAACUAUGUCAACUAGGUGUUGGGUGGGUAAAACCAUUUAGUACCGUAGCUAACGCGUGAAGUUGACCGCCUGGGGAGUACGGCCGCAAGGUUAAAACUCAAAGGAAUUGACGGGGACCCGCACAAGCGGUGGAUGAUGUGGAUUAAUUCGAUGCAACGCGAAAAACCUUACCUACCCUUGACAUGCCAGGAACUUGCCAGAGAUGGCUUGGUGCCCGAAAGGGAGCCUGGACACAGGUGCUGCAUGGCUGUCGUCAGCUCGUGUCGUGAGAUGUUGGGUUAAGUCCCGCAACGAGCGCAACCCUUGUCGUUAAUUGCCAUCAUUUAGUUGGGCACUUUAACGAGACUGCCGGUGACAAACCGGAGGAAGGUGGGGAUGACGUCAAGUCCUCAUGGCCCUUAUGGGUAGGGCUUCACACGUCAUACAAUGGUCGGUACAAAGGGUUGCCAAGCCGCGAGGCGGAGCCAAUCCCAGAAAGCCGAUCGUAGUCCGGAUUGCAGGCUGCAACUCGCCUGCAUGAAGUCGGAAUCGCUAGUAAUCGUGGAUCAGCAUGUCACGGUGAAUACGUUCCCGGGUCUUGUACACACCGCCCGUCACACCAUGGGAGCGGGUUCCGCCAGAAGUAGGUAGCCUAACCGCAAGGGGGGCGCUUACCACGGCGGGGUUCGUGGCUGGGGUGAAGUCGAAACAAGGUA